AUUGAACGCUGGCGGCAGGCCUAACACAUGCAAGUCGAGCGGUUGAGGUAGCUUGCUACCGACGCAGCGGCGGACGGGUGAGUAAUACAUGGGAAUCUGCCUGGUAGUGGGGGACAACGUUUCGAAAGGAACGCUAAUACCGCAUACGCCCUACGGGGGAAAGGGGGGAGUCGCAAGACCUCUCGCUAUCAGAUGAGCCC
rnacentral:rRNA from 1 species